UACGUAGGGUGCGAGCGUUGUUCGGAAUUACUGGGCGUAAAGAGCACGUAGGCGGGUCGGUAUGUCAAUUGUGAAAGCCCUGGGCUUAACCUGGGAACUGCAGUUGAAACUGCCGAUCUUGAAUGUCCAAGAGGAUGGGGGAAUUCCUGGUGUAGUAGUGAAAUACGUAGAUAUCAGGAGGAACACCUGAGGCGAAGGCGCCUGUCUGGUGGAGCAUUGACGCUGAGGUGCGAAAGCGUGGGGAGCAAACAG
rnacentral:rRNA from 1 species